GUGCAAGCCAAACUAAGGUGAAACCGCAAAUGGCUCAUUAAAUCAGUUAUGGUUUAUUAGAUGAUACACCACUUUACUUGGAUAACUGUGGUAAUUCUAGAGCUAAUACAUGCAAACAGAGUUCCCACCGGAGACGGCAGGAGCGCUUUUAUUAGAUCAAAACCAAUACACUUGCCUCGGCGGGUGAUCCCAUUGGUGACUCUGAAUAACUUUUUGAUGAUCGCAUGGUCAUUGUACCGGCGACAAAUCUUUCAAAUGUCUGCCUUAUCAACUGUCGAUGGUAGGCUCUGCGCCUACCAUGGUUGUAACGGGUGACGGGGAAUCAGGGUUCGAUUCCGGAGAGGGAGCCUGAGAAACGGCUACCACAUCCAAGGAAGGCAGCAGGCGCGCAAAUUACCCACUCUCGGCACGGGGAGGUAGUGACGAAAAAUAACGAUACGGGACUCAUCCGAGGCCCCGUAAUCGGAAUGAGUACACUUUAAAUACUUUAACGAGUAUCCAUUAGAGGGCAAGUCUGGUGCCAGCAGCCGCGGUAAUUCCAGCUCUAAUAGCGUAUAUUAAAGUUGUUGCGGUUAAAAAGCUCGUAGUUGAGAGUGUGUUCCGCACUGUCGGUGCGCCAUUUAUGGUGUUUACUGGCAUGCUGCGGAACGUCCUGCCGGUGGGAUAGCUGCCUCCGUGUGUGCGUCGUUUUUAUCUUGAAGACGGCGUGCUCCGGUUCCGUAGCUUUCUCUUGUCACCCAUCGCGGUGCUCUUUACUGAGUGUCGUGGCGGGCCGGCACGUUUACUUUGAACAAAUUAGAGUGCUAAAAGCAGGCCUCACGCCUGAAUAUUGUGUGCAUGGAAUAAUAGAAUAGGACCUCGGUUCUAUUUUGUUGGUUUUCUGGACCAGAGGUAAUGAUUAAGAGGAACGGACGGGGGCAUUCGUAUUGAGACGUUAGAGGUGAAAUUCUUGGAUCGUCUCAAGACGGACAGAAGCGAAAGCAUUUGCCAAGAACGCUUUCAUUAAUCAAGAACGAAAGUUAGAGGUUCGAAGGCGAUCAGAUACCGCCCUAGUUCUAACCAUAAACGAUGCCAGCCAGCGAUCCGCCAAAGUUCCUCCGAUGACUUGGCGGGCAGCUUCCGGGAAACCAAA
rnacentral:rRNA from 1 species